rnacentral:lncRNA from 1 species
AACAAUUCAAAUUAUUUAAAAGAUGAAUUUAAAUUACGAUGAAAGAAACUUGUUUUACUCUCAAAAUUCGAAAGGUAUCAUAUAAAUUGGGAAUGAAGAAAACAAUAAACUUUUUUAUUUGGCUAAUGCCUUGUUGUAAGUUACAUAGAAACAAGAACUGAAUUUCAUUUCUAUUUUUGUCCCAAGAAAUUUGAACUCUUCAAUUUGUAGUUUCAUUAGUUUGCGCAAUCUGACUUUGAGGUGGUUUACUAUGCCCACAUUCACAGUAAAAACCGUUGCAGAAAUAGACAUCGAUAAAGCCACAAAGAGAUCUACAAAUAUUGGGAUCUUUGUCGCAACAACAAACGGGAAUAUCCUUUGCUUCAGCCUUUUGCAAAAUACCUAUUAAAUAAAAUUUCAUAAUAUAUAUAUAUAUAUAUAAUAGAUAAAUAUAUUUCAUAUAUCCAAGAACAAGGUUACAAAAUGAACUUAGAAAAAAUUGUGAAAAAGUGUAUGAUAUUCAAGUACUAACAAAUUAAAGCAAGUAAAAGACUUACCGAACCCAAUCAUCAUAAAGAUGAGGAGAAAAGCCAAUACUUUGAAAGUCAUCUCUUAAUAUUUGGUGUAAUGCUUUUGAAAGUAAUUUGUGC